rnacentral:rRNA from 1 species
CAAGGGCAACCGGCGAACGGGUGCGUAACACGUGAGCGACCUGCCUGAGUGCGGGGGAUAGCCGGCCCAACGGCCGGGUAAUACCGCAUACGCUUCUCGAGGGGCAUCUCUUGGGAAGGAAACUUUCGAGGCACUCAGAGGGGUCGCGGCCUAUCAGCUAGUUGGCGGGGUAAUGGCCCACCAAGGCGACGACGGGUAGCUGGUCUGAGAGGAUGGCCAGCCACAUUGGGACCGAGAGACGGCCCAGACUCCUACGGGAGGCAGCAGUGGGGAAUCUUGCGCAAUGGCCGAAAGGCUGACGCAGCGACGCCGCGUGUGGGAGGAAGCUCUUCGGGGUGUAAACCACUGUUGCCCGGGACGAACAUGGUCUUUCGAGGCCACUGACGGUACCGGGUGAGGAAGCACCGGCUAACUCUGUGCCAGCAGCCGCGGUAAUACAGAGGGUGCGAGCGUUGUCCGGAAUCACUGGGCGUAAAGGGCGCGUAGGCGGCCUGGUAAGGUUGCGGUGAAAGCCCGGGGCUCAACCCCGGGUCGGCCGUGGCAACUGCUGGGCUGGAGCACUGUAGAGGCAGGUGGAAUUCCGGGUGUAGCGGUGGAAUGCGUAGAGAUCCGGAAGAACACCGGUGGCGAAGGCGGCCUGCUGGGCAGUGGCUGACGCUGAGCGCGACAGCGUGGGGAGCAAACAGGAUUAGAUACCCUGGUAGUCCACGCCGUAAACGAUGGGCACUAGGUGCUUGGGGGAGCGACCCUCCGAGUGCCGGCGCUAACGCAUUAAGUGCCCCGCCUGGGGAGUACGGCCGCAAGGCUGAAACUCAAAGGAAUUGACGG